AAUUCCAUCUGACAUUCAGUAAUCUAAAUGCUUUAUCUUCUCAUUACCAAAUCAACCACAAAGCUACAGUGAAAUCCCAUCCCCCACCCCCAAAUGAAAAAACGAUAAAAAGAAAAUAGAAUAAAUUGAGUCUUUCUAAGAUCAGGAAGGACAUAGAAGGAUAAUCUUACCUCGCUCAAAUCCAUCAACAAAGCAUUUGCCGAAAAUGUCAGACCAACGGAAGUUAAAUCAAGAGUCUAGAUUAUUCCUUGCAAAAUCAAAAACAAUUGAAGCAAAUCUCAGGAAAAACGCAGCUUCAUUAAAUUGAAGAAAGAAAUAAGAGAAAACUGAAGACAUAAAAUAAAGACAACGGAACACCCACGAAAACUAUAAAUAGAAAUAGAAAUACAAAGAAUAUAACUGAAAUUUCAUACCCUAAUUGACAUACCGCCCUAAACUACUGUAAGCCGUCCAAAAGAUGAACAAUUACAACGAAAAAACUACCAUGUUUUUUGAUAGCGCUUGGUACUAGUGGUAUAGGACAAUCAGCAAAAUCACAGAGAGAGAUCGAAGGAGAA
rnacentral:lncRNA from 1 species